rnacentral:ncRNA from 1 species
UUUGAUUUGCCCCCUGUUUCGAGCUUUAUGGCAUAAGCCAGGUUUCGCCUUUGAGUGAGCCGCUCGACCAACACUAAACCAAAGCCAGGGCAAAU